CGGAAGACUAACUCGUAUAAACCAGUAACUAUCGGAAAGAACUUUAACGGUAGACUGACUCGUAUAAACCAGUAACUAUCGGAAAGAACUUUAACGCAAACAUGAAUAACCUGGUUAACAAUCCCAGCAUUAGGAUGAAAAAUUUUGUCCUGCAUUUUUUUUUAGCUGUAAUCUCUGUCCUGCCUUUUUAUUUUUCACUCUGUUCGGUCCUGCCUUUUUUUUUUUGUAGUUUAUCAUGACUUUUUUUUUUACCUAACAUGCCUAAAUUGUCGUCCUGACUUUUUUUUUUGCAAGUGUCUCAUCCUGACUUUUUUUUAACUCUAAACUCCUGUCCUGCCUAUUUUUUUCAAAUUUCAUCCUAGCCCCCCCCCCCCCCCCCU
rnacentral:lncRNA from 1 species